GAUGAACGCUGGCGGCGUGCUUAACACAUGCAAGUCGAACGAAUCUUCUUCGGAAGAUGAGUGGCGAACGGGUGAGUAAUACAUAGGUAACCUGCCCCUGUGCGGGGGAUAACAGGAGGAAACUCCUGCUAAUACCGCAUAGCCAUGAGCACCGCAUGGAGCUCAUGCCAAAUAUCCUUUCGGGGAUAGCGCAGGGAUGGACCUAUGGCGCAUUAGCUGGUUGGCGGGGCAACGGCCCACCAAGGCAACGAUGCGUAGCCGGCCUGGGAGGGGGGACGGCCACAUUGGGACUGAGACACGGCCCAGACUCCUACGGGAGGCAGCAGUAGGGAAUUUUCGGCAAUGGGGGAAACCCUGACUGAGCAACGCCGCGUGAGCGAAGAAGGCCUUCGGGUCGUAAAGCUCUGUUGUAAAGGAAGAACGGCGCAUACAGGAAAUGGUAUGCGAGUGACGGUACUUUACCAGAAAGCCACGGCUAACUACGUGCCAGCAGCCGCAGUAA
rnacentral:rRNA from 1 species